rnacentral:tRNA from 1 species
GCGUGAGUGGCGGAAUUGGUAGACGCGCAGGAUUUAGGUUCCUGUUCUUCGGAGUGAGGGUUCGAGUCCCUUCUCGCGCA